rnacentral:rRNA from 1 species
AUGGGGAAGAAGCCGGGCAAUGCUGGCCCUUCCUCGGCAUCCAGGCCCAUGAACCAGGCCAUGUCGCUCCGCGAGGAGACCUCCGGGAAGGCGCAGGCCGACGUGCCCUCCCUCCUGAGGGUCCAGCACCUGCAGCGGCUGGGGGCAUGGGCGAGUGGGGAGGCGGGAGUUGGCUCGAUCGGGGCGCUGCUGGGCCACCGCCUCGCCACGAACGCCGAGGCGUCUGGGAUUCCCAUUGAAGCCUCCACCUUCCUUUGCCAGAGGUGUGAAUCAAUCUUACAGCCAGGUUUCAACUGCACAAUCCGCAUAAAGAACAACAAAAAGAAAGCAAAGCGGCGCAAGAAGUCAAAUCCUGGCCAAAACAGUGUUGUCUAUGCAUGUCAUUUCUGUGGAGAUCAAAACCUGAUACGGGGUAGUGGAAAGGGUAUCGUGAAGGGCCUGUUAGCAUCGAGAAAGCCUGUUAGCACAAUGUUGAAAGGAGAAACUAUGAACGCGCCAACAGUAACUACUAAAAAGGGGAUCGAGCAUUCUGUAACAGCAGCAUCCAGGUUGAAAAUAUCCACUCCUGAAGAUUAUAAAAUGGAGAAAGGGGCAGUUUUCUCAAUGGUGGAUCAUGGUCAGUUAGCGGCUGCACACGAAGACAUCCUGCAGAAAAUCGAAGUAGAAAGCGCACAUGAUAAAUGUGUGAAUGGAAUUGAAUCUGCGGCUUCUAAAAAUACUACAACAUGUGAACCCGAUGUCACUUCUCAAGCAGAAUUUCUAGCUGGGUCAAACUUUGUUACUCCUCUGAAGAGCAAACUGGCGGAAGUGACUGCGCCUAUAGGUUCAGCAGAACCAUUGAAGACUAGAAGUACACUGAACAAUAAAGCGAAGAAUUGUGGUUCAGUUGCUGCCAAGACCCCUGGAAGUUAUAGCAAGUCAGCAUCAAAUAAAAAGUCUGCACCAGGUGAUUCUACUCAGCCAGCUGGCAGUUCAAGGAAGCGGGCAAGAAAAGGGUGGACUACUCUGAAGCAGAUUGCUGAGAAGGACGAACUUGAGAGAAAAGAGAAGAUGGAUAACUCUGUAAUCCCGUUCUUCAUGCAACACCAUCAGAGUGAUCAUGCUAUGGACUGGAGUUAUACAUGCAGUCCACCAGUCUGGAUUUGUUAUUGGAGUAGGCUCCAGGUUGCAUUCAUGUGA